CGGCUGCUUUGUUGAGCCGU
rnacentral:sRNA from 1 species